UAACCAUGGUGUGGGCAAGUGAGAAGUAAGUCUUUGAACCAUUUCUAACAUUUAAAAAAGGUUUCAUUAUUUUUCUGGAAGAAGUUCAAUAUUUCCCAUCUAAGAGC